rnacentral:sRNA from 1 species
UGAUUCGUUCGGCCUUCCCACAACGGGUU